GUAUGAAAGUCUCCUCAGAAAAUCAGAUUAAGAUUAGAUAAGAAAAGGGAAGGAAGUUGAAGGUCUUACAGGAUAUUUUUAUUUGGCUGUGAUGCUGAUAAACAUCAACUUUCUACUAUAGAAAUCCCAUGGAUAUGCUUGGUGUGUUUGGACAGGCAGUGGGCCCAGAGGCAGCAGAGGGCUCUGGACUCAAAUUUUCCCAGUCUUACCUCCAGAGUGGAAAGGGCUGUCUCUGCUAAGCUCAACACACACAUUCCAUGGGAAGGACUCCAAUUUUCCAGGAUGAAGAUGUUAAAACCCCUGCCUAGUCACAGAGACAGAGUACAGGUGUUACCUGUAUGAGGACCAGAGUGCAGGUCCUCAGAUAAGGCUGAUGAUCUUCUCAGAACAGUACCAUCUGCAGGCAUGUGGUUAUCAAAGGAGACUCCUGAGUCAAUCAGAUACAGAAACAGGAUUCACAGGCUGAGGCUAUUAUUAAUCUGUUAUUGCAGAUCUUUAGGAAAGGAACAAGGAGUUCUACUUGCCUCUCUGUAGGUGAUUACAAUUACAGUUGUCAGGGGGAGUGUGUAAUUUACUUGGUUCUGUCUCCUCACAAGAAAAAUUUGAAGUGACCGACGUUAAAGCCCUCGGUGCAUCACAACUCUCAGUGUUACAGCUCCAUGUUACAGC
ensembl:lncRNA